rnacentral:ncRNA from 1 species
UAUUCCGCUGAUACGAAGUUUCGCGGAAAACUUCGUGCUGAAAAAACGUCAUUCUUCCAAAACGUCAAGCUUUUAAACCGUCGUGCUUCCAAAACGUUCGUCUCAUCAAUCUAAGACAUCUUCUAACUAUGGUCGAGAAACUUAUUCGACUCAUAGUUAACUCACGAUGAUUUCUUUGCCCACUUCGUACUUCAAAACUUCUCGAUCACCCGCGACUCGACCACCACAACGAUACUCGACCAUUCUCUCUCUCUCUUCUUUUUUUUAAUGGGUUUCUACAGUCGGGGGCAUUCGUAUUUCAUAGUCAGAGGUGAAAUUAUUGGAUUUAUGAAAGACGAACAACUGCGAAAGCAUUUGCCAAGGAUGUUUUCAUUAAUCAAGAACGAAAGUUAGGGGCUCGAAGACGAUCAGAUACCUUCCUAGUCUCAACCAUAAACGAUGCCGACCAGAGAUCAGCGGUUAGGACUCCGCUGGCACCUUAUGAGAAAUCAAAGUUUUUGGGUUUCGGGGGGAGUAUGGUCGCAAGGCUGAAACUUAAAGGAAUUGACGGAAGGGCACCACCAGUAGUGGAGCCUGCGGCUUAAUUUGACUCAACACGAGGAAAUUUACCAGGUCCAGAUAUAGUAAGGAUUGACAGACUGAGAGCGCUUUCUUGAUUCUAUGGGUGGUGGUGCAUGGUCGUUCUUAGUUGGUGGAGCGAUUUUUCUGGUUAAUUCCGUUAACGAACGAGACCUCAGCCAGCUAACUAGCUAUGUGGAGGCAUCCCUUCACGGCCGGCUUCUUAGAGGAACUAUGGCCGUUUAGGCCAAAGAAAGUUUGAGGCAAUACCAGGUCUGUGAUACCCUUAGAUGUUCUAGGCCGCACACGCGCUACACUGAUGUAUUCAACGAGUUCACACCUUGGCCGACAGGCCCGGGUAAUCUUUGAAAUUUCAUCGUGUGGGGAUAGAUCAUUGCAAUUUUUGGUCUUCAACAAGGAAUUCCUAGUAAGCGCGAGUCAUCAGCUCGCAUUGACUACAUACCAUAUCAUCAUCAGAUCAUUG